CCUACGGGAGGCAGCAGUGAGGAAUAUUGGUCAAUGGGCGCGAGCCUGAACCAGCCAAGUCGCGUGAGGGAGGACGGCCCUACGGGUUGUAAACCUCUUUUGCCGGGGAGCAACGUGCGCCACGUGUGGCGUCCCUGAGAGUACCCGGAGAAAAAGCCUCGGCUAACUCCGUGCCAGCAGCCGCGGUAAUACGGAGGAUGCGAGCGGUCUCCGGUUUUAUUGGGUUAAAGGGGUGCGUAGGCGGAGCGUUAAGUCAGUGGUCAAAUUGAGGGGCUCAGGCCUUUCCCGCCAUUGAAACUGGCGUUCUGGAGUGGAAGAGAAGUAGGCGGAAUGCGUGGUGUAGCGGUGAAAUGCAUAGAUAUCACGCAGAACCCCGAUUGCGAAGGCAGCAUGCCGGCUUCCGACUGACGCUGAAGCACGAAAGCGUGGGGAUCGAACAGGAUUAGAUACCCCAGUAGUC
rnacentral:rRNA from 1 species